rnacentral:rRNA from 1 species
CCUACGGGUGGCAGCAGUGAGGAAUAUUGCACAAUGGGCGAAAGCCUGAUGCAGCGACGCCGCGUGAGUGAAGAAGUCUUUAGGUCUCUAAAGCUCUAUCAGCCGGGAAGCAAAUGCCGGUACCUGAUUCCGCCGCCCCGGCUCCCUACGUGCCAGCAGCCGCGGGAAUACGUAGGGGGCACGCGUUAUCCGGAUUUACUGGGUGUAAAGGGGGCGUAGACGGUAGCACAGGGCUGGAGUGAAAUGCUGGGGCUUAACCCUGGAACUGCUGUGGAAACUGGGCAGCUAGAGUGGAGGAGAGGUAAGUGGAAUGCGUGGUGUAGCGGUGAAAUGCGUAGAUAUUAGGAGGAACACCAGUGGCGAAGGCGGCUUACGGGACUGUAACUGACGUUGAGGCACGAAAGCGUGGGGAGCAAACAGGAUUAGAUACCCCAAUAGUC